UCUAACUUGACUCAACAUGAUCAAUUUAACAUGGUCUUAACUCGACUUGGUCUAACAUGAGUUGGUUUGCCUCAACCUAAUUUGACUUGGUCAAAAUUUGAAUUGACCCGACUUGACUCUACCUUACUUAAGCUGAGCCUAACUUAACUUGACUUUAACCUAAUUUAUCUCGGCCCAACCUGGACUUGACCCGAUUCAGUGCAACCUGUUCUCAGCCUGACUUGGCC
rnacentral:lncRNA from 1 species